rnacentral:lncRNA from 1 species
GGCGUGCGGCGCCCAGGCAGUCGGGCAUCGUGCCCCCGGAGAGAGGGAGGCCCUCAGUGCAAGCUCCUUGGCACCCAGACAGAUCCUGCCAGCAAGCACGGAGCCCGGGCCAAGCGCCCUGCCUUCCCAGCCGCUUUGGCCUUUGGAAUUCUCGCCCUGCAUCGAAUGGGAAGAAGUCCUCAAGAUUCCGAGCAGUGACUUUCCCCACGAAUAAAAGACUCUUGAACGAGGCUGCAAACCUUUGGGAUUUGUUUUUAACUGUGGACGCCCCCUCAGCUCUCAGGGAGAGGUGGAAGCACCGCACCGAGGGCUGGCAUGGAUAGUGGGUCCGCGGGAGCCUUCCCGUCUCGCUGCCUUUUCUCUUAAUUGGGAUCUGGGAAGUGUUUGCGCUUGCAUACAGACAUCCUUUUGAAAAUUUAAGGCCACGUGCAUGUCUGCUACUUGAUAUUUCAGCUCCCGCAGUUUGGGAGGCCUUGGCAGUUGGGCCAUCUUCAGCGGAUGCUGCUGCACUUUAAAAUAAGCAAACCACAGUAUUUUCAAAUUUCCCUUGUCCCAGCCCUCCUCUUGGAUGUGGAAAGGGCCUAGAUUUUCCAUAGUGGGCUAGAGUGUUCUUAAAAAUGUUUCGUAUAAGUCGUUCUUUCCCCAGGCAGAAGAAGAUGCUUGGUGAGUUGAAAUGCCAGCGUGAUCGUCAGGCCUUGGCUGUGAGCCGCCAGAGCCGGUCCCGGCCUCCAGCUCCUUUGUGCAGGCAAAGCACAUGGUCGCUGCUGGACUUCUGGGCCAUCGGCAGUCAGAGAAGCUGGCCUCUCAGUGGCUGGACUCCCCGGCGGGAGAAGAGGGAAGGAAAGAGCUUUCUGUGCCUCCUGGAGCCACAGUGGGGAGUGGUGACUUGAAGGAUGAAGCCUGCCCACCAAGAAGAUCCUGCUCUGAACCCACUGGGCACAGGCUACAGCUAUGGGCACCAGUCUGGUUGGUGGUCUUCAUUCACUGCUGAUGGCCGUGGAUGCCAGGAUAAGGUGGCCAUGCAUGACCAGGGCCAGUGAGCCUCCUGAGGACUCGACUUCUUCAAAUCUCCGUCAUCCCUUGGAGUGCAAGGAACAGCCUUCGGGAAGAAAUGGGAGGUUCUGCUCUUGUGUGACGUCACGGUACUGGUGUGCAUUUCUGGCUCACAUCAUGGGACACAGGGCCAUCCUGGCCUUACUGUCAGUAAGCGGGCCGGUGCCUGAAGCCCCUUUGGCAGAGGCCAACCCUGCUUCUCCUCAGGACUGGUGA